GACGAACGCUGGCGGCGUGCUUAACACAUGCAAGUCGAACGAAGUGGCGAACGGGUGAGUAAAGCGUAAUCAACCUGCCCUUCAGAGGGGGACCACAGCUGGCACAGACUGCUAAUACCGCCUACUGAGGGCGGGGCAUGCGGCUGAUUAGCUAGUUGGCGGGGUAACGGCCCACCAAGGCGAUGAUCAGUAGCCGGUCUGAGAGGAUGAACGGCCACAUUGGGACUGAGACACGGCCCAGACUCCUACGGGAGGCAGCAGUGGGGAAUCUUCCGCAAUGGACGAAAGUCUGACGGAGCAACGCCGCGUGAGUGAUGACGGCCUUCGGGUUGUAAAGCUCUGUUAAUCGGGACGCGGUACCGGAAUAGAAAGCCACGGCUAACUACGUGCCAGCAGCCGCGGUAAUAC
rnacentral:rRNA from 1 species